CAGUGGCACUACAUUCUUGUUCAUCUGCCAUGCUAUAUUAUCGGGCCGUGAUCACUCGGGAGGUGAUCACGCGUAUAUACUUGCUCUCAAUGUAAUGGUUUAGUCCUAGAACUUGCAUUUUGACCCUACCUAGUCCUUGAACUUGCAUCAAAUGUGCAAAUUUGGUCUUGACGAAUCACAGAGCGCCAUGUGGACGCGUGGGUGCCGAUCCGGUCAGCACGUGGCAUUUUUCAAAGAGGCCCCCGCCUUUGUUGUGAAUCUACCCGCAGGACAGGAAAGCACCUGAAUUAAUUUUUUACAAGAGCACGGUUUCCCCCCCCCCCCCACCCAAUCCAGACAGCCACACACUCAGUCCAUCUUUGUUUUUGCUCUGCUCUCUCUCGUCUCUGCUCAAGCCCGUAGCUUGUUGCCGUCGUCCAGCAAGCCGACCCAACCAUGGUUUCGUGGAGUGAUUCUGGAUCCAGCUCUUGCUCGUCAGGUGGCGACUCGGUCACUAGUCCGGGUCCUCGCACCAUUGAGAGCUUCGAUUGGAUGGGCCUUGCUGCAGAUCUACCUGAUAGGUGUGAGCACCAAGCAGUGUGUGAGAAGCUUGUUGCAUUUUAGUCUGUUGACAGUGGAAGAAGAUUCCUGGGUUGUGCACAGAAGGAUGGGCCUAGAUGCCCUUAUGUGCGUUGGGUUGACCCGGAGUGGCCUCCACAAUUGAGGACCCGUCUAGCUAGGGUCUGGGACAUGUAUGAAGAUGAGUACAGAUCCAGGAUCAGGGAAGCUGUAGCUGUGAUUGAAGAAAAUCUUAGGGUUCUAAAUGAGAAGGAAAAGCUGGAAAAAGACCUGAGGUUUUUUAAACUAGAUUUUGCUAAGAUGGUGGCUGACAAAGAGCAGACAAUUACUGAAUUAGGCAACACAAGGCUAGCUAUGUCUGACCUAAAGAUAGAACUUUAGAAGAAGAGAAUUGCUGACAAAUCAGUGACCAACAUUCAUCAGGUGGUCAGGGCUAAGGCAGAGAAAGAGAGGGGUGAGAUGAAGCAAGAGAGGGACAAAAUGAUGGAAGAGAGGGACAAAUUGAAGGAAGAAAGGGAUCAGUUGAAGAAAGAGAUAAAUAAGCUAGAGUAUAUGAUUGGUGACCUGUUCAAGCAUAUAUAAGGAAGACACCAAGUGCAAGAUAAGGAAGAUUAGGGAGAUGCUAGAUGAAUUUGAGUGAUCCAUUGGUGCUCUAAUGGAAUUUAGUUAAUGAUGAUCAGUGGUCUUGUUUAAUCGAGUGAAUUGCUGCCUAAAUUUUAGUUAUCUUUGAUGCACUGUACUAUUUGAUGCAAUGACCUAAU